rnacentral:rRNA from 1 species
AUUGAACGCUAGCGGCAUGCCUAACACAUGCAAGUCGAACGAGUGGCGGACGGGUGAGUAAUAUCUGGGAAAGUGCCAAGUAGAGGGGGAUAACUACUCGAAAGUGUGGCUAAUCCCGCAUACUCUUGGAUCGGCCGAUAUGGGAUUAGCUAGUUGGUGGGGUAAAGGCUCACCAAGGCGACGAUCCCUAGCUGGUUUGAGAGGAUGACCAGCCACACUGGAACUGAGACACGGGCCAGACUCCUACGGGAGGCAGCAGUGGGGAAUAUUGGACAAUGGGCGAAAGCCUGAUGCAGCCAUGCCGCGUGUAUGAAGAAGGCCUUCGGGUUGUAAAGUACUUUCAGCGGGGAGGCGUUACCUGCAGAAGAAGCACCGGCUAACUCCGUGCCAGCAGCCGCGGUAAUAC